rnacentral:lncRNA from 1 species
AUGAUGCUUUUCGAUUAGCGUCAUGUUAUACUAGCUCAGAGAGAGAUUUUUUACAUCCAAUUAUAGGUACAAUAAAUUAUACUGUAAAUAUUUAAUUAGCACAGUAUUCUUCUAAUAUUUAUUAUUGAUAGGGUGUAUUUAAUAUUAUUGAUUUUGAGAAGGAUCGCAUGCGGCAAGCUAUAGAUGCUCAUUUAUACUUGUGUUUCAAAAAGUAUCACCAUCGUAUUUAUUAGCAUUGAUAUCAUAUGAUGC